CGAGUCUAGAGGACCUAGUCCUCGGCGUACCGCUCAGUAACACGUGGGUAACCUACCCUAUGCUGGGGGAUAAGCUCGGGAAACUGAGAAUAAUACCCCAUAGUCCACUACGCCUGGAACGGUGAGUGGAUGAAAGCUCCGGCGGCAUAGGAUGGGCCUGCGGCGUAUCAGGUUGUAGGGGGUGUAACGUACCCUCUAGCCAUCCACGCGUACGGGUGUUGGGAGACAUUGCCCGGAGAUGGAUUCUGAGACACGAAUCCAGACCCUACGGGGUGCAGCAGGCGCGAAAACUUGGCAAUGCGAGAAAUCGUGACCAGGGAACUCCAAGUGGCAGGGGUAAGACCCUGUCUUUUUUCGACUCUAAAUAGGUCGACGAAUAAGGGGUGGGUAAGGACGGUGCCAGCCGCCGCGGUAAUACCGGCGCCUCAAGUGGUAGUCGCUUUUAUUGGGCCUAAAACGUCCGUAGCCGGUCUGGUACAUUCGUGGGUAAAUCAACUCGCUCAACGAGUUGAAUUCUGCGAGGACGGCCAGACUUGGGACCGGGAGAGGUGUGGGGUACUCUCAGGGUAGGGGUAAAAUCCUGUCAUCCUGAGAGGACCACCUGUUGCGAAGGCUCCACACUAGAACGGAUCCGACGGUCAGGGACGAAGCCUAGGGGCACGAACCGGAUUAGAUACCCGGGUAGUCCCUAGGUGUAAACGCUGUGGACUUG
rnacentral:rRNA from 1 species